GCAGGGAAGAAGCGAAAGUGACGGUACUGCAGAAAAGCGCGGCUAACUACGUGCCAGCAGCCGCGGUAAUACGUAGGGCGCAGCGUAUCGGAAUUAUUGGGCGUAAAGAGCUCGUAGGCGGUUUGUCGCGUCUGCUGUGAAAACCCGAGGCUCAACCUCGGGCUGCAGUGGGUACGGGCAGACUAGAGUGCGGUAGGGGAGAUUGGAAUUCCUGGUGUAGCGGUGGAAUGCGCAGAUAUCAGGAGGAACACCGAUGGCGAAGGCAGAUCUCUGGGCCGUAACUGACGCUGAGGAGCGAAAGGGUGGGGAGCAAACAGGCUUAGAUACCCUGGUAGUCCACCCCGUAAACGUUGGGAACUAGUUGUGGGGACCAUUCCACGGUUUCCGUGACGCAGCUAACGCAUUAAGUUCCCCGCCUGGGGAGUACGGCCGCAAGGCUAAAACUCAAAGGAAUUGACGGGGACCCGCACAAGCGGCGGAGCAUGCGGAUUAAUUCGAUGCAACGCGAAGAACCUUACCAAGGCUUGACAUAUACGAGAACGGGCCAGAAAUGGUCAACUCUUUGGACACUCGUAAACAGGUGGUGCAUGGUUGUCGUCAGCUCGUGUCGUGAGAUGUUGGGUUAAGUCCCGCAACGAGCGCAACCCUCGUUCUAUGUUGCCAGCACGUAAUGGUGGGAACUCAUGGGAUACUGCCGGGGUCAACUCGGAGGAAGGUGGGGAUGACGUCAAAUCAUCAUGCCCCUUAUGUCUUGGGCUUCACGCAUGCUACAAUGGCCGGUACAAAGGGCUGCAAUACCGUAAGGUGGAGCGAAUCCCAAAAAGCCGGUCCCAGUUCGGAUUGAGGUCUGCAACUCGACCUCAUGAAGUCGGAGUCGCUAGUAAUCGCAGAUCAGCAACGCUGCGGUGAAUACGUUCCCGGGUCUUGUACACACCGCCCGUCAAGUCAUGAAAGUCGGUAACACCUGAAGCCGGUGGCCUCAACCCUUGGGAGGGGAAGU
rnacentral:rRNA from 1 species